AGGGUUUAAAAGGAAUAUGAAGAUGAUCGCACACAGAAACAACAAUGGGAAAUGAAGCAUGGAGCUUUUAGUUAAGUAUGAGACCGUCACCCAAUAUGUGUGUGUACAUUCUUUCUGUGUGUCCGUGUGUCCGUGUGUGUGUGUGUCCGUGUGU